UACGUAGGGGGCAAGCGUUGUCCGGAAUCAUUGGGCGUAAAGCGCGUGUAGGCGGCCCGAUAAGUCCGCUGUGAAAGUCCAGGGCUCAACCCUGGAAUGCCGGUGGAUACUGUCGGGCUCGAGUCCGGAAGAGGCGAGUGGAAUUCCUGGUGUAGCGGUGAAAUGCGCAGAUAUCAGGAAGAACACCUAUGGCGAAGGCAGCACUCUGGGACGGUACUGACGCUGAGACGCGAAAGCGUGGGGAGCGAACAGG
rnacentral:rRNA from 1 species